GGAGGGGUUCCCGAGCGGUCAAAGGGGGCAGACUGUAAAUCUGUUGGCUUAAGCCUUCGUAGGUUCGAAUCCUACCCCCUCCACCA
rnacentral:tRNA from 1 species